rnacentral:tRNA from 1 species
GGGCAAAUACCCAAGUCUGGCUGAAGGGACUGGUCUUGAAAACCAGCAGGGGCUUUACCGCCCGCGGGGGUUCGAAUCCCUCUUUGCCCGCCA